GGCAGUUAGCCUUAGAGAAUGAAAUGUCUGGGGAUAUUGCAAUGGAAAAAACAAGCUGGCUGCAAACACCAUGCUUGCAGUUUCUGGGAAAGAUGCAAACUUCAGCAAAUGUUGGGCAUUAUCUCCUUUUCGUAGCAGAGUUUGGUGUGACUUGAACUUUUUCUUCACUUGGUUAAAUAUUCCAAAGACUAAAAGGAAGUUCUGCUAGCAAAAGGGUUGCAAAAGUCUGCAACUAUAAUUUUGUGAUAUUAAGCAGAGUGUAGAACGUCGUAGCACAGUGAGGGAAAGUAGCUUUCUACUUCUCAAACAUCUUUCUUUUCCCCAAAUGUUGUGCUUUUUGUUGUUUUGUUUUGUUCUCCCCAUCAUCUUUGGUCUUAAAUUCCCUUCACAGUAAAGAGAACAGCUUCUUAAGCAUCACCUUCUUCUCCUUUCCGUAAGUGACAGUGCUCUCAACACAUUUUCCCACCUCAUUCUUCAUUUUCAUGCCUUAAUCUUUUGCAUAGUGCUUAUGAUUAACUUUAUUAGGCUUGAGCAUCUGUUAAUCCAUGCAUAAUUUGUUUAAGUAUGAAAACAAAAACAGUAUUAGCCAUUUUCAUGCAAUUGUUUCAGGACAAUACCUUCUCCAGAUGACCAGUCACUAGGAGAAGUAGCAAAACAAUUACCAUGACCUGUGUUGAACCGUAUCAAAUGCCUGCAUAGUUAUAGAUUUAACUAUAAUACUGAAAUAGCAUACAUAAUACUGAUUUUUAAAUGCAGAACUUCGUAAAGCAAGAAAAGAGUUUGUGAAUAUCUCUGAUUAAGUGAAAACAUCUGUGCAUGUUGGGAAUGGAAGAGAAACUAAAUGAGAUUAUGAAUGAAGCAUUCUCCUACAGGAAGAUAUGAGUCUUCUGAAACACAGUUGCAUGCUUCAAAUAUUUCUUGAUGCUUGAAGCAGUAAGUUGAUAAAUCCAUCAAUGUAAGUGCUAGUUAUGGUGUUACAUGGAUAGCUCUUUUCAUAUUCACCAAGAACUGUGUGCAUGUGUGAAAAGAACUAAGAAAAGAUCUGAUGUUCCCCCCCCUCAAAGUGAAUAAGAAGAUACACCAUCCAUCUCAGUGAGAGCCGGGUUCAGUCCCAAAGAAACAUAUGUUGUCUUACGAAAUUAGCUAGGAAGCUGAGUUGAAUUGUCAGCCAAGCUGAUAUAAGAAAAUGAUUUUAGAAGAAUGAAAGCCUGUAAUUUGUAUUCUGUGUGAUGAAGAAAGUGAGAAAAGCUUAGUCAUAUGCGAGAGUAAAAUGAUCUGAAAGGAAGUAGUGUCUAGAGUGACAUAGCUUAUUUAGCACGGCAUUGUCUGUACAAAAAGUAAAAUACCUGAAGCUAAUAACUUCAGCAGUUAUUUUGCAUUGUGCUUUUCUCUUGGUAUCUUUCCAAAGUAGUGUAAUACAUGAAAUGAAGGUCACUCAGCUAAUUUGAAGGCAGAAAAAAAAGGUUGAAAGAGGUAUUACAUAGGCAUACACAGGAAUCUCCAAACCCAAUAGCAUAAUCAAAUUAUUUUCAUUAUGUCAACUAAGCCCAAAUUGUUGUUAUUUAAAUAUUCGGCAACUCCGGUGGCCUUUCUGAAGCUAAAGGUAUGAAUUUCUAUAAGACAAAGCUGCCAAAGAACCAGAUGCUAUUCAUUUAUUUAGAAUCAAAAACCUAUGUUUGAAGUGAAAUUGCCAUGAGCUAAAAAUGAGUAGGAGGUGUGACUGACACUAUGUGUGCCAAGGGAGGAUCUAGUUUUUCAAGUAGCACCUUCCUCUCCCUUGUUAAGUUUCUUCUGCCUCAACUGUGUCAGGCACUGAAUGUUGAAGCAGUUUAGCAUUAAAAUAAACUUAAGAUUUAUCUUUUUUUUAUUAAAAAAGAAAAAACAGAAAAAAAAACUGCCAUUGGGCAAAACAGAAAGGAAUUUCACUCAGCUGCUUCCAGGACACUGGUACCAGAAGCCAGAAAGGCAUGAGAGAAUUAAAGAAAAUAUUGAAAAUGCUUGUUAUAUCAUCAGAGUUUUAUUUAGUCUGCCGUUGCAGUUGAUAGAGCUAGCUGUUCCAUUGCAGAAGAUUACUUGCCAGGGAAGUGUUCACUGAAGUAGACUUGCUGCCUUCUGACUUUAUUGUAAUGUUUAAAUGAUUGCAGCUUGGUCAGAGGCAUCCUGUUAAAUAAACCGUAAUUAGCAAAAAAUACUUCAGCAAGAUUCAUGUAAAUCUUAAUUCUAACAUGUUGGAGUUUCUCUGGGACUCAUUCCUUAGAACUGUAUGCAAUAUAGUAAUCCUAGGAUUGCUAACGCAUUCAAAGAGGAGAUGCUUUUGUUGCCGUGGUGUUUGAUUGCCAGUGAGUGCUUCCUUGAGUUCAGUUUUGGCACGUCAAUACAUGGGUCAGCACCUUAACUCAUCUAGGCCUUAUUUAGAUUUGUUUCCAUUAUCUUUAAUCUACAGCAUACAUUUGAUAUUAAUUCUUACCUGCUUUCUUCAGACUACAGUCACGUGCAUGAGUACAGACGGCGCUUUUGUAUCAGAAAAGAGAGAAGAGUGAAAAUGGUUAUUAAAGCAAAGAGAAGAGGAACUUCAAUUUAUACAUUUUUUGUUUCCUUUAUUCUUUUUUAAGAUGAAGGGAGGUAUGAGUUGCAGUGUUGGUUGAUGAUUCAUCUGCCAAACACAGCUUGAUUAAAAGGAGAACAAAAAAACCCUAACACCACGUUUCAGCUUUCGAAAUAUGGAAAAGGAAGGAAAUGUUAGAGUAGCUGGAAAAAAAAAAAAUCUGGCAGAGAUUUUGUACGUAUUUGUCUGUUUUUUCAGUUGAAGACUGAGAAAACCUGAUAAAUAUAGAUGAAAAACUUUAGUAUCACAUGUUAGUCUAACAAACAUAGUCUCUGCAAGACAAUCCUGCAGUGAAGCUAGUCGGUCUUUGGAUGGAUGUCAAGACAUGGAUGUUUUUGAUCAAGAAGUUUAAUUUGGUUCUGUACAUCCUUCAUGUACUUUGAUUUCCAUAAAGUAAACUGUCUGAAUAGAUGAAAUGCCAGUGUAUGUGAAGAAACCUAAAAAAUCUGUAUGUGGAAUACAGUUGCUGUAAUUCUGUGUUUGGUGCUUGAUGUUCAUGACUUCCUACUCAGUAAUGAGGUUCUCUUUGUGUCCCCCUUAUUGCACUCUUGGUGAGAUAAUUCUCAUUUAGGGUGCAAGUCUCUGGUCCAUCUUGGAGGCAUCUUGAAAUACUUCGGAAAUGAUUUUUUGGAGACACUGUCCUCCAGGUGUUCCCAUUUAAUUGGAAGAGUAAACAAUGACUUCUGUGGUAGCACUCGUGAACUAGUAAUUUCAGACAACCCUAUAACUUAUCAGAA